UUAGGUUCAUGCAAGUGGGUCUUAAUAGGUCAGGAUAUAAAGAUGAGUCAUUUAUUCUAGCAUAACAAGCUCAACAAGUAUUUUAUGUUAGUGACGCAACUGAUAUGAAAUGGUCCAUUGUUCUUUUAACUAACAAAAUAAUCGUCAAUAAUAUUGAUAACUAAGAAUAUGAAGAUAGUGAUGAAGAUGAUCUUUUUUUGGACAUAUCAGUUGCGUGAGAGCGGACCAACUACGGAUGACGAUUUAUAUUAAAGAGAUGAUCACGAUGAAGGGCUUUGAGUAAAUCAAUAUGCUCCUCUAGACAAG
rnacentral:lncRNA from 1 species